rnacentral:rRNA from 1 species
AUCGAACGCUGGCGGCAGGCCUAACACAUGCAAGUCGAGCGGAUGAAGGGAGCUUGCUCCUGGAUUCAGCGGCGGACGGGUGAGUAAUGCCUAGGAAUCUGCCUGGUAGUGGGGGAUAACGUCCGUAAACGGGCGCUAAUACCGCAUACGUCCUGAGGGAGAAAGUGGGGGAUCUUCGGACCUCACGCUAUCAGAUGAGCCUAGGUCGGAUUAGCUAGUUGGUGGGGUAAAGGCCUACCAAGGCGACGAUCCGUAACUGGUCUGAGAGGAUGAUCAGUCACACUGGAACUGAGACACGGUCCAGACUCCUACGGGAGGCAGCAGUGGGGAAUAUUGGACAAUGGGCGAAAGCCUGAUCCAGCCAUGCCGCGUGUGUGAAGAAGGUCUUCGGAUUGUAAAGCACUUUAAGUUGGGAGGAAGGGCAGUAAGUUAAUACCUUGCUGUUUUGACGUUACCAACAGAAUAAGCACCGGCUAACUUCGUG